rnacentral:rRNA from 1 species
UACAGAGGUCCCAAGCGUUGUUCGGAUUCACUGGGCGUAAAGGGUGCGUAGGCGGCCGGGUAAGUCUGGUGUGAAAGUUCGCAGCUCAACUGCGAAAAGUCAUUGGAUACUAUCCGGCUGGAGGAAUGGAGGGGGGACUGGAAUACUUGGUGUAGCAGUGAAAUGCGUAGAUAUCAAGUGGAACACCAGUGGCGAAGGCGAGUCCCUGGACAUUUCCUGACGCUGAGGCACGAAAGCUAGGGGAGCAAACAGG